AGAAUAAGCACCGGCUAACUACGUGCCAGCAGCCGCGGUAAUACGUAGGGUGCAAGCGUUAAUCGGAAUUACUGGGCGUAAAGCGUGCGCAGGCGGCUUUGUAAGACGGAUGUGAAAGCCCCGGGCUCAACCUGGGAAGUGCAUUCGUGACUGCAAGGCUAGAGUGUGUCAGAGGGAGGUGGAAUUCCGCGUGUAGCAGUGAAAUGCGUAGAGAUGCGGAGGAACACCGAUGGCGAAGGCAGCCUCCUGGGAUAACACUGACGCUCAGGCACGAAAGCGUGGGGAGCAAACAGGAUUAGAUACCCUGGUAGUCCACGCCCUAAACGAUGUCAACUAGUUGUCGGGGAUUCAUUUCCUUGGUAACGCAGCUAACGCGUGAAGUUGACCGCCUGGGGAGUACGGCCGCAAGGUUAAAACUCAAAGGAAUUGACGGGGACCCGCACAAGCGGUGGAUGAUGUGGAUUAAUUCGAUGCAACGCGAAAAACCUUACCUACGCUUGACAUGUCAGGAACCCUGAAGAGAUUUAGGGGUACCCGAAAGGGAACCUGAACACAGGUGCUGCAUGGCUGUCGUCAGCUCGUGUCGUGAGGUGUUGGGUUAAGUCCCGCAACGAGCGCAACCCUUAUCAUUAGUUGCUACGCAAGGGCACUCUAAUGAGACUGCCGGUGACAAACCGGAGGAAGGUGGGGAUGACGUCAAGUCCUCAUGGCCCUUAUGCGUAGGGCUUCACACGUCAUACAAUGGUCGGUACAGAGGGUUGCCAACCCGCGAGGGGGAGCCAAUUCCAUAAAGCCGAUCGUAGUCCGGAUUGCAGUCUGCAACUCGACUGCAUGAAGUCGGAAUCG
rnacentral:rRNA from 1 species